UACGUAGGGGGCAAGCGUUGUCCGGAUUUAUUGGGCGUAAAGAGCGUGUAGGCGGCCAGGUAGGUCCGUUGUGAAAACUGGAGGCUUAACCUCCAGCUGUCGAUGGAAACCAUCUGGCUAGAGUCCGGAAGAGGAGAGUGGAAUUCCUGGUGUAGCGGUGAAAUGCGUAGAUAUCAGGAGGAACACCGGUGGUGUAGACGGCUCACUGGACCGUAACUGACGCUGAGACACGAAAGCGUGGGUAGCAAACAGG
rnacentral:rRNA from 1 species